GGAUGUGGUAGUACAUGCCUAUAACCCAUGCUAUUAGGGAAAGUUGGGGCUGGUGAUCUCUUGAGUUCAGGAGUUCUGAGAAGAGCGAAAACUGAUCAUGUGUCUGCAUUUAGUCCAGCACCAAUAUGGUGGCCCUCCACCUAUGUGUCUACCCAUGCUACAUGGGGGCACCAGGUUACCUAAGGAGGGGAAAACCAGCCUUGGUCAGAAAUGGAGCAGGUUAAAGCUUCCAUACUGAUCAGUACUGUAAGUGGUCCCAUGAGUGGCCCACUUUAUUCCAGUCUGGGCAAGAUAGGGAGACUCAGUGUUUA
rnacentral:SRP_RNA from 1 species